GUUGAUGAUUCAUAAUAACUAAACGAAGCGCAGGGGCUUGUCUCGGCGCUGAUACAAACGAGUUUCUGCCCUAUCAACUUUCGAUGGUAGUAUAGGGGACUACCAUGGUCGUAACGGGUAACGGGGAAUUAGGGUUCUAUUCCGGAGAGGGAGCCUGAGAAAUGGCUACCACUUCCAAGGAAGGCAGCAGGCGCGCAAAAUUACCCAAUCCUGAUUCGGGGAGGUAGUGACAAGAAAUACCAUUGUCGGACACUUUGUGUACGAUAUUUGGAAUGAGUACAAUUUAAACACCUUAACGAGGAACAAUUGGAGGGCAAGUCUGGUGCCAGCAGCCGCGGUAAUUCCAGCUCCAAUAGUGUAUAUUAAAGUUGCUGCGGUUAAAAAGCUCGUAGUUGGAUUUCGGAAUGCAUGGAUCAAAGCUCAUCCUUGUGGUGUGGCUCGGUUAGUGCUUCUAUCUUCUGUUAGUGGGUUAAACCUAUUACAGAU
rnacentral:rRNA from 1 species